GGGGAAGCCGUGGCUGGAGCGGCAGGUAGGCCGGUGACGGGUGAGGUGGUUGGGUGGAAACCCGAGGCCUGGGGUGAAACGCCCACUGCAUAGGGUUGGUCUGACGUUACUGACACAUCGGAACCAACCACCAUGAUUGGGUAGCUAGAGUUGGCGGGGGGAGUACAAGGAACCAAUGCCAUGGAUGGGGUAGCUGUGGGGGCCGGCUGGGAGGGGCGUGAUAGGUGAGUAUUAAGGACGUGAGCAAGGGCAGAGAUUGGAUAGGAAGGUGUAGGGCAGGC